UUUUGCAUCCGGUUUAUUCGCCAUGAUGCCAUUGCCUACAGCAUGCAAUAAAUGCGUUUUACCUAAACCUGUACCGCCAUA
rnacentral:antisense_RNA from 1 species